AGAAAACAAUAAUGAUUAAAAUAAAAGAAGGCCUGGAUAACACUUCUAGCUAGUCUUUCCAUCAUCAGUUGAAGUGGGAGGCCAAGAAGGCGAACGGGUGCGUAACGCGUGGGAAUUUGCCGAACAAUUCAGGCCAAAUCCUGAAUCAAGCUCAAAAGCGUUGUUUGAUGAGCCUGCGUAGAAUUAGGUAGUUGGUCAGGUAAAGGCUAACCAAGCCAAUGAUGCUCAGUGGUCUUUUCGGAUGAUCAGCCACACUGGGACUGAGACAUGGCCCGGACUUCCACGGGGGGCAGCAAUGGGAAAUCUUGGACAAUGUGCGAAAGCCCGAUCAAGCAAUAUCAUGUGAGUGAAGAAGGGCAAUGCCGCUUGUAAAGCUCUUUCGUCGAGUACGCGAUCAUGAUAGGACUCGAGGAAGAAGCCCCAGCUAACUCUGUUCCAGCAGCCGCGGUAAGACAGGGGGAAGGACAAGUGUUCUUCGGAAUGACUUGGCGUAAAGGGCACGUAGGCGGUGAAUCGGGUUGAAAGUGAAAGUCGUCAAAAACUGGUGGAAUGCUCUCAAAACCAAUUCACUUGAGUGUGACAGAGGAGAGUGUUAUUUCGUGUGUAGGGGUGAAAUCCGUAGAUCUACGAAGGAAGGACAAAAGCGAAGGUAGCUCUCUGGGUCCCUACUGACGCUGGGGUGCGAAAGCAUUGGGAGCGAACAGGAUUAGAUACCCUUGUAGUCCAUGCCGUAAAUGAUGAGUGUGCACUCUUGGUCUACGUGGAUCAGGGGCCCAGCUAACGCGUGCAACACUGGGCCUGGGGAGUACGGUUGCAAGACCAAAACUCAAAGGAAUUGACGGGGCCCUGUACAAGCGAUAGAGCAUGUGGUUUAAUUCGAUACAACGUGCAAAACCUUACCGGCCCUUGACAUAUGAACAAUAAAACCUAUCCUUAACAGGAUGGUACUAACUUUCAUACAGGUGCUGCAUGGCUGUCAUCAACUCGUGUCGUGAGAUGUUUGAUCUAGUCCUAUAACGAGCGAAACCCUCGUUUUAUGUUGCUGAGACACGCGCCUAAGGAGAAAUGGCAACCGAAGAGAGCCGAGUGAUGUGCCAGCACUACUACUUGAGUGCCAGCACGUAGUGCUUUCAGCAAGAAUUUAACGGGAGCCGGCGCCUUUCGAAGCACUUUCACAUAUGAACCGAAGUCGUCUUACAUCAUUCGUUCCCCUACCUAUGGUGACGUCAAAGUACCUGUGACCAUGAUGGUUUGGUUAGGCUUGGUUAUGAUGAUGUCCAGUUGGCGGUAGAGGAAGACUCAACAUUUAGGUGAACUGCCCGGUGGUGUGGUACGUAGUGGUAAUAGUAUGCGCCCCGCUCCAAAACAAAGAAAAAGGUGCAUCCCGCACUCAUGAGAGACUGCUAGUUAGAUACUAGAGGAAGGUGGGGAUGAUGUCAUGUCCGUAUGGCCCUUAUGGGCUGGGCCACACACGUGCUACAAUGGCAAUGAUAAUAGGAAGCAAGGUUAUAAGGCGGAGCGAAUCCGGAAAGAUUGCCUCAGUUCGGAUUGUUCUCUGCAACUCGGGAACAUGAAGUUGGAAUCGCUAGUAAUCGCAGAUUAGCAUGCCGUGGUGAAUAUGUACCCGGGCCCUGUACACAUCGCCCUUCACACCCUGGGAAUUGGUUUCGCCCGAAGCAUCGGACCAAUGAUCACCCAUGACUUCUGCGUACCACUAGUGCCACAAAGGCUUUUGGUGAUCUUAUCGGCGCAUACCACGGUGGGGUCUUCGACUGGGGUGAAGUCGUGACAAGGUAGACGUAGGAGAACCAGUGGCUG
rnacentral:ncRNA from 1 species